rnacentral:ncRNA from 1 species
GGCGGAUUCGAAAAUGCCGGAUGCGCAGUCAGGCUAUGAAAAGGGAAGCACGCUGGUGAUGGCCGGCCUGUCCGGCCUCAACAUGGUCUAUGAGGCGG